CCUACGGGUGACAGCAGUGAGGAAUAUUGGUCAAUGGACGAGAGUCUGAACCAGCCAAGUAGCGUGAAGGAUGACUGCCCUAUGGGUUGUAAACUUCUUUUAUAUGGGAAUAAAAUGUUCCACGUGUGGGAUUUUGUAUGUACCAUAUGAAUAAGGAUCGGCUAACUCCGUGCCAGCAGCCGCGGUAAUACGGAGGAUGCGAGCGUUAUCCGGAUUUAUUGGGUUUAAAGGGAGCGUAGGUGGAUUGUUAAGUCAGUUGUGAAAGUUUGCGGCUCAACCGUAAAAUUGCAGUUGAAACUGGCAGUCUUGAGUGCAGUAGAGGUGGGCGGAAUUCGUGGUGUAGCGGUGAAAUGCUUAGAUAUCACGAAGAACUCCGAUUGCGAAGGCAGUUCACUGGACUGCAACUGACACUGAGGCUCGAAAGUGUGGGUAUCAAACAGGAUUAGAUACCCUAGUAGUC
rnacentral:rRNA from 1 species